AUGGGGAGAGCAAGUUUUUGUUUUUCAGAGUCUAGAAGAAGCUCUUCUUCUCUCUCUCUUCUUAUGUAAUCUUGUUAUGGCAUGUAACAGUGCUAAAGAGAUCUGAGAUGAAUUUUAGAGGAGAUAUGGAGCACCCAUGUAAAAUAAAGUGAUCACUCCUUGUGACUCAAGCUCUACGGAUCUUGAGGGUGGUAACCCGUGCUUUGCUGCGUUGACUAGUGAUGAGGAGCCCCUGAUAGGAGAGUGGGAAAAGCCCCGCUGAUCUAUUGUCGUUUAUCUGCCCUCUUUGAAGGAUAAGCUUUAGUAGGGACAGUUGGAUUUUUGUGGGAAAUGUCCCUAGAUUUUGUUUUUGCAAUGUAUAUAUUGAAAUACAGUGGAUAUAGUGACUCUAGUAUUUAUGGUAAUGUGAUGGAUGUUUUCGUCUUUAUAAUAUUGUGAUUGUAUGUUUCCUGCUGCUUAAA